rnacentral:rRNA from 1 species
ACGGAAGGGGCUAGCGUUGUUCGGAAUUACUGGGCGUAAAGAGCGCGUAGGCGGCUCUUCAAGUUAGGCGUGAAAGGCCUGGGCUCAACCUGGGAACUGCGCUUAAGACUGGCGAGCUUGAGUCCGGGAGAGGGUGGUGGAAUUCCCAGUGUAGAGGUGAAAUUCGUAGAUAUUGGGAGGAACACCAGUGGCGAAGGCGGCCACCUGGCCCGGAACUGACGCUGAGGCGCGAAAGCGUGGGGAGCAAACAGG